CAGCCGCCGCGGGAAUACGUAGGGGGCGAGCGUUGUCCGAAGUUACUGGGCGUAAAGCGUGCGCAGGCGGUUUUGUAAGACAGGCGUGAAAUCCCCGGGCUCAACCUGGGAAUGGCGCUUGUGACUGCAAAGCUAGAGUGCGGCAGAGGGGGAUGGAAUUCCGCGUGUAGCAGUGAAAUGCGUAGAUAUGCGGAGGAACACCGAUGGCGAAGGCAAUCCCCUGGGCCUGCACUGACGCUCAUGCACGAAAGCGUGGGGAGCAAACAGGAUUAGAUACCCCCGUAGUCCCUGUCUCUUAUAC
rnacentral:rRNA from 1 species